rnacentral:sRNA from 12 species
UUACAUUGAAGAUAGGUCUACCUAUACUGUUUAUAUCUAUGAUUACUGAAUGUGAGUUUAAGCGUACUGUAAGUACGUCAGACAUAGAGCCACUCCUUUAAUGUGAGUGGUCUUUUUAUAA